rnacentral:sRNA from 1 species
CCCACGGCUCACGCCGUGGGCUAUGUUCUUCCGCCCUGCCGGGCG